UACGUAGGGGGCAAGCGUUGUUCGGAAUUACUGGGCGUAAAGCGCGCGUAGGCGGUUUGACAAGUCAGAUGUGAAAGCCCCGGGCUCAACUUGGGAACUGCGUCCGAUACCGGCAGGCUUGAGUCCGGGAGAGGGAUGCGGAAUUCCAGGUGUAGCGGUGAAAUGCGUAGAUAUCUGGAGGAACACCGGUGGCGAAGGCGGCAUCCUGGACCGGUAUUGACGCUGAGGCGCGAAAGCCAGGGGAGCAAACGGG
rnacentral:rRNA from 1 species